rnacentral:rRNA from 1 species
UUGAACAGCGAGUGACCAGCUCCGAAAGGAGCCUUCCGCAAGGACACUCGUAGAGGUGCUGCAUGGCUGUCGUCAGCUCGUGUCGUGAGAUGUUGGGUUAAGUCCCGCAACGAGCGCAACCCUUGUUUUGCUGUUGCCAUCACGUUAUGGUGGGCACUCUGCAAAGACUGCCGGUGAUAAACCGGAGGAAGGUGGGGAUGACGUCAAGUCAGCAUGGCCUUUAUGUCUGGGGCUACACACGUGCUACAAUGGCCGGUACAAACCGUCGCGAUACCGUAAGGUGGAGCUAAUCGGAGAAAGCCGGUCUCAGUUCGGAUCGUAGGCUGCAACUCGCCUGCGUGAAGUUGGAAUCGCUAGUAAUCGCGGAUCAGCACGCCGUGGUGAAUACGUUCCCGGGCCUUGUACACACCGCCCGUCACAUCACGAAAGCCGGUUGUACUAGAAGUCGCCACACUAACCCGCAAGGGAGGGAGGCGCCUAAGGUAUGGUCGGUGAUUGGGGUGAAGUCGUAACAAGGUAAGCGUAGUGCU